UUUUUUCCAACAGAAACAGGUUUUACAAACCAGUAAAUUAAUAGGGAAUCGUGUGAGAAUCACGAGCUGUCGCGCAACUGUAAGUAACGCAAACAACUGCCGUUCAUAAGCGUCCACUGGAAUAAUAAAUGAAUGAAUGACUGAAUGAUUGAAUGAUUGAAUAUUCAGUCAUUCAGUCAUUCAAUCAUUCAAAAUUCUGGGAAGGACGAACGUCAGGUUACAAGCCAGGAGACCUGCCUUUUUCAAAGUUGACGAU
rnacentral:ncRNA from 1 species